GAGUUUGAUCCUGGCUCAGGAUGAACGCUGGCGGCGUGCCUAAUACAUGCAAGUCGAACGCUUCACUUCGGUGAAGAGUGGCGAACGGGUGAGUAAUACAUAAGUAACCUGGCAUCUACAGGGGGAUAACUGAUGGAAACGUCAGCUAAGACCGCAUAGGUGUAGAGAUCGCAUGAACUCUAUAUGAAAAGUGCUACGGGACUGGUAGAUGAUGGACUUAUGGUGCAUUAGCUGGUUGGUGGGGUAACGGCCUACCAAGGCGACGAUGCGUAGCCGACCUGAGAGGGUGACCGGCCACACUGGGACUGAGACACGGCCCAGACCCCUACGGGAGGCAGCAGUAGGGAAUUUUCGGCAAUGGGGGAAACCCUGACCGAGCAACGCCGCGUGAAGGAAGAAGUAAUUCGUUAUGUAAACUUCUGUCAUAGAGGAAGAACGGUGGAUAUAGGGAAUGAUAUCCAAGUGACGGUACUCUAUAAGAAAGCCACGGCUAACUACGUGCCAGCCG
rnacentral:rRNA from 1 species